GUUUUUCUUCGAACGCGACGCCACUUCGUGGUGAAGGCUGGACAGAUUGAGGGGCGCCCCCUGGUGGUUGCUGGACCCUAAGCAGCUGCCCGGCCCUGUGUAGCAUCCCGUUGAUACAAGUGAUCUUGAUGUGCUUGACGUCCGUCUUGAUCCUGCGACAGAGCCAGAAGCAGGGCGGCUUAAGCGGGGGGAGUCGACUAGCAAUACGAAGCUCAAGGGAAAGUUCCGCUUGAGGGCAAAACAGCGAAGCACGUCCUAGGAUUUGAGCCAGCAACCUUCUGGCGCAGCAGUCUGAGGUUCUCACUUGAUGCUGAUGGCGAAGUCGUCAUACUCCUUCUGCCGGACGAGAAUGCUGCAAGGAACAAUGAAAAACGGGAAGAGGGGAAGAAAGAAAGCCAGAAGGGGACGGAGGAGAGGAACCAAAAACUCAUGAGCAAGGAGAAGACAAGUGACUCUGGGCAAACUCUGGGGAGGCAAGGAUGGCUGGAUGCCCCCAGGCACAGUGACAUCACAGAAAACAGAGAGAAUGGGCCAGCUGUAAUAAAACGAGGGAGUAAACUGUG